UAAUACAGAGGUGGCAAGCGUUGUUCGGAAUUACUGGGCGUAAAGGGCGCGUAGGCGGUUCGUUAAGUCCUGUGUGAAAUCCCCCGGCUCAACUGGGGAACUGCACAGGAAACUAGCGGGCUUGAGUUCGGGAGAGGGAAGCGGAAUUCCGGGUGUAGCGGUGAAAUGCGUAGAUAUCAAGAGGAACACCUGCGGCGAAGGCGGGUUGCUGGGCCGACACUGACGCUGAGGCGCGAAAGCUAGGGGAGCGAACGGGAUUAGAUACCCCGGUAGUCCUAGCCUUAAACGAUGAAUGCUUGGUGUCUGGGGUUAUAUAGUCCCCGGGUGCCGUCGCUAACGCUUUAAGCAUUCCGCCUGGGGAGUACGGUCGCAAGACUG
rnacentral:rRNA from 1 species